UUGACCUCAAAUCAGGUAGGACUACCCGCUGAACUUAAGCAUAUCAAUAAGCGGAGGAAAAGAAACUAACAAGGAUUCCCCUAGUAACUGCGAGUGAAGCGGGAUAAGCUCAAAUUUAAAAUCUGGCGGUCUUAGUGCYGUCCGAAUUGUAACCUAGAGAAGUGUUGCCCGYGCUGGACCAUGUAUAAGUCUCYUGGGAUGGAGUAUCAGAGAGGGUGAGAAUCCCGUCUUUGACAUGGAYUUCCAGUGCAUUGUGGUAUGCUCUCAAAGAGUUGAGUUGUUUGGGAAUGCAGCUCUAAAUGGGUGGUAAAUUCCAUCUAAAGCUAAAUAUUGGCGAGAGACCGAUAGCGAACAAGUACCGUGAGGGAAAGAUGAAAAGAACUUUGGAAAGAGAGUUAAACAGUAUGUGAAAUUGUUGAAAGGGAAACGUUUGAAGUCAGUGAUAUUGGUYAGGGAUCAAGCCAAGCAUAUUCAUUUGCUUGGGUGUACUUCCUGGUYGAUAGGUCAACAUCAGUUCUGGCUGCUGGAAAAGGGCUAGCGGAAAGUGGCAYCCUUUUGGGUGUGUUUAUAGCUGCUAGUCAUAUACAGUAGUUGGGACUGAGGAAAGCAGYGUGCCAUUUAGGCAGGGUUUCGACCACAUUCGCGC
rnacentral:rRNA from 1 species